AUGCUGCGCAAGCACACCUACUUCGCCGAGCUCGGCCAGAGCAAGGGCGCCUUCGCCGCGUCGGCCACGCUCUCCGCGGUCCGUGCCCACCGCCUCGCGCGCUGGGCACGGUUUGCCCCCUCCCUCGCCGCCGCGCGCGAGCACCUCUUCGACAAGACGGUCACGCCCAGCGACGUGUGGCGGUUCCUCUACUCUUACUGGAACAAGAGCCAGAGCUACGUCCUCACCAAGGGCUGGAGCCGCUUCGUGAAGGAGAAGGGCCUUGGCGUGGGCGACGUCGUCGGGUUCUACCGCUCCGGCACCGGCAGCACUGGUGAAGGCACCAAGUAGGUUCGCCCGGCGUUUGUGUCGCCGGAGACUACUCGGCGUUCGUCGCCGGACCGGGUUUGUCCCAACACCAAGCUCUUCAUUGAGUGCAAGCUCCGACGGAACACCAACAGCGCCUCGCUCGUGAACCCCGUCGAUCAGCAGGCGCCCGUGGAAAAGGCCGUGAGACUCUUCGGCAUCGACCUUCUGACGGUGCCCGUGUCCUUGGCGGCGGCAGAGCAGGGGAUGCCGAGGUGCAAGAGGGCCAGAGACUUGGUGAAGUCGCCGCCUCCGAAAGAGGCGUUCAAGAAGCAAUGCAUAGAGUUGACGCUAGCGUAG
rnacentral:rRNA from 1 species